rnacentral:rRNA from 1 species
UCCUACGGGACGCAGCAGUGGGGAAUAUUGGACAAUGGGGGAAACCCUGAUCCAGCGACGCCGCGUGAGUGAAGAAGUAUUUCGGUAUGUAAAGCUCUAUCAGCAGGGAAGAAAAUGACGGUACCUGACUAAGAAGCCCCGGCUAACUACGUGCCAGCAGCCGCGGUAAUACGUAGGGGGCAAGCGUUAUCCGGAUUUACUGGGUGUAAAGGGAGCGUAGACGGCGUUGCAAGUCUGAUGUGAAAGAUUGGGGCUCAACCCCAGGCCUGCAUUGGAAACUGUAAAGCUGGAGUACAGGAGAGGUA